UAAAAGCAGUUAUUAAGUUUUUUUCUUUAAAGCUUUUGACACUUAAUAACACUUUAAGUUAACCUUAGUAAACAUCAUUAAGUUUACCUUUCAAAGAUCAAAGAACAAUUAUUAAAAUCUUUUUGAUCAGAUAACUAAUAAACUAACUAACUAAAUCACUGAUGCAUAAUUAACUGCAUCAAUGAUUUUUUUUUAUUAUUUUUACCGCAAAAAAUGCAGAUUUAUCUGUUAAACUAAUGAUUUAAAAAGGCUUUUUUUUAUUAUCAAUCAUUGGUUAUUUUUUACUUGUGAUUUUAGCUUUAAUGCUUAUAAAAAAAUCCAAUGACAAAAGUUUUUUUAGAAAAGUGUUGUGCAAACUGAUUUGUUAUGCUAUAAUCUAUAAGGCUUAUAUA
rnacentral:misc_RNA from 1 species